rnacentral:rRNA from 1 species
GACGAACGCUGGCGGCGCGCCUAACACAUGCAAGUCGAGCGGAGAUAUACGAAGAGUAAUCCGAGUAUAUCUUAGCGGCGGACGGGUGAGUAACGCGUGAGUGACCUGCCUCUUACAGGGGAAUAACGUGCCGAAAGGCACACUAAUACCGCAUAAGACCACGAAACCGCAUGGUUAUGAGGUCAAAGGAGCAAUCCGGUAAGAGAUGGGCUCGCGUCCGAUUAGAUAGUUGGUGAGGUAACGGCCCACCAAGUCGACGAUCGGUAGCCGACCUGAGAGGGUGAUCGGCCACAUUGGAACUGAGAGACGGUCCAAACUCCUACGGGAGGCAGCAGUGGGGAAUAUUGGGCAAUGGGGGAAACCCUGACCCAGCGACGCCGCGUGAGGGAAGAAGGUUUUCGGAUUGUAAACCUCUGUUCUUGGUGAAGAGGGGAAGACGGUAGCCAAGGAGGAAGCCCCGGCUAACUACGUGCCAGCAGCCGCGGUAAGACGUAGCGUG